rnacentral:misc_RNA from 1 species
AAGUCGUAACAAGGUCUCCGUAGGUGAACCUGCGGAGGGAUCAUCAAAGAAAUUAUAUAGAAUAAUAAUAUUCUAAACCCCAAGUGUUAGGGGGAAAGAAGGGAGGGGAAAAAGAGAUAGCAUUGCUAUUUUUUUCUUUCCUUCUUUCUUUUUCUCUAAUGCUUCAAACAAAUGAUCACAACUAAAAAGUGAGAGAGAGAGAAGAGGGAAAUUGAUUUGGUACCUGUGUGUUUUUUUUGACAGAGAUUAUACAAGUGCUUGCCUGAUAAUCUGAUUAUUGGAAAGAGAAAUAUUAUACAACUUUCAACAACGGAUCUCUUGGCUCUCA